rnacentral:tRNA from 1 species
UCUCUGGUUGUCUAGUGGCUAAGACUCUGUGCUCCUAAUUUAGGGGGUCUGGGUUCAAUUCCUGGUUGGGGAA